GAUGAACGCUGGCGGCGUGCCUAAUACAUGCAAGUCGAGCGAACAGAUGAUGAGCUUGCUCCUCUGACGUUAGCGGCUGACGGGUGAGUAACACGUGGAUCACCUACCUAUAAGACUGGGAUAACUUCGGGAAACCGGAGAUAAUACCGGAUAAUAUAUUGAACCGCAUGGUUCAAUAGUGAAAGACGGUUUUGCUGUCACUUAUAGCUGGAUCCGCGCCGCAUUAGCUAGUUGGUAAGGUAACGGCUUACCAAGGCAACGAUGCGUAGCCGAUCUGAGAGGGUGAUCGGCCACACUGGAACUGAGACACGGUCCAGACUCCUACGGGAGGCAGCAGUAGGGAAUAUUCCGCAAUGGGCGAAAGCCUGACGCAGCAAUGCCGCGUGAGUGAUGAAGGUCUUCGGAUCGUAAAGCUCUGUUAUUAGGGAAGAAAAACUGUGUAAGAAACUCUGGACGUCUUGACGGUACCCAAUCAGAAAGCAACGGCUAACUUCGUG
rnacentral:rRNA from 1 species